UGAACGCUGGCGGCAUGCUUUACACAUGCAAGUCGAACGGCAGCACGGGGCAACCUGGCGGCGAGUGGCGAACGGGUGAGUAAUAUAUCGGAACGUACCCAGGAGUGGGGGAUAACGUAGCGAAAGUUACGCUAAUACCGCAUACGAUCCAAGGAUGAAAGCAGGGGACCGCAAGGCCUUGUGCUCCUGGAGCGGCCGAUAUCUGAUUAGCUAGUUGGUGGGGUAAAGGCUCACCAAGGCGACGAUCAGUAGCUGGUCUGAGAGGACGACCAGCCACACUGGAACUGAGACACGGUCCAGACUCCUACGGGAGGCAGCAGUGGGGAAUUUUGGACAAUGGGCGCAAGCCUGAUCCAGCAAUGCCGCGUGAGUGAAGAAGGCCUUCGGGUUGUAAAGCUCUUUUGUCAGGGAAGAAACGGGGGCGGCUAAUAUCCGCUCCUAAUGACGGUACCUGAAGAAUAAGCACCGGCUAACUACGUGCCAGCAGCCGCGGUAAUACGUAGGGUGCAAGCGUUAAUCGGAAUUACUGGGCGUAAAGCGUGCGCAGGCGGUUUUGUAAGUCUGAUGUGAAAUCCCCGGGCUCAACCUGGGAAUUGCAUUGGAGACUGCAAGGCUGGAAUCUGGCAGAGGGGGGUAGAAUUCCACGUGUAGCAGUGAAAUGCGUAGAGAUGUGGAGGAACACCGAUGGCGAAGGCAGCCCCCUGGGUCAAGAUUGACGCUCAUGCACGAAAGCGUGGGGAGCAAACAGGAUUAGAUACCCUGGUAGUCCACGCCCUAAACGAUGUCUACUAGUUGUCGGGUUUUAAUUAACUUGGUAACGCAGCUAACGCGUGAAGUAGACCGCCUGGGGAGUACGGUCGCAAGAUUAAAACUCAAAGGAAUUGACGGGGACCCGCACAAGCGGUGGAUGAUGUGGAUUAAUUCGAUGCAACGCGAAAAACCUUACCUACCCUUGACAUGUCAGGAACCCUCGAGAGAUUGAGGGGUGCCCGAAAGGGAACCUGAACACAGGUGCUGCAUGGCUGUCGUCAGCUCGUGUCGUGAGAUGUUGGGUUAAGUCCCGCAACGAGCGCAACCCUUGUCAUUAGUUGCUACGAAAGGGCACUCUAAUGAGACUGCCGGUGACAAACCGGAGGAAGGUGGGGAUGACGUCAAGUCCUCAUGGCCCUUAUGGGUAGGGCUUCACACGUCAUACAAUGGUACAUACAGAGGGCCGCCAACCCGCGAGGGGGAGCUAAUCCCAGAAAGUGUAUCGUAGUCCGGAUUGUAGUCUGCAACUCGACUACAUGAAGUUGGAAUCGCUAGUAAUCGCGGAUCAGCACGUCGCGGUGAAUACGUUCCCGGGUCUUGUACACACCGCCCGUCACACCAUGGGAGCGGGUUUUACCAGAAGUAGGUAGCUUAACCGUAAGGGGGGCGCUUACCACGGUAGGAUUCGUGACUGGGGUG
rnacentral:rRNA from 1 species